rfam:Sphingobacterium paucimobilis HER1398 contig4, whole genome shotgun sequence.
ACUAUGGAGAGUUUGAUCCUGGCUCAGGAUGAACGCUAGCGGCAGGCCUAAUACAUGCAAGUCGAACGGGAUCCAU